UUUUCCAGAAAGACUGCCAAAAUAAAUACUUAGUAAAUAAAUACAACGGUAUAAUUGAGUCAAAAGUGAGUGAACUACACAAUUUUCAUUAAGUUACACCUUCUUUACCACAUUAGUAUUUCAAAAACCGAUGUCAGAUAUAAACUCCUUUUUCUCUUCUUUUCCAAAAUUAGAAUAAAAGACAAUAAUAGUUGAACUCACACAUUCGUGUAAAUACCAAUUGAGAUGUCAUUAAAUUGAAUGUCUGGUUAGAUUCCAAAACACAAAGAUUUGCCCAUUUAAGAUUAGAUUGUGUACUUGAGGUCUAUCUCAAAGACAGCUUCUUUCUUGUACCCUGCAGCAAGCUGUAACAAGUUUAUCAAUUAAUUUUAAUUCAUUGUAUUGUAAGAAACAAUUAAAUAAAUGAAAAAGGAAGGUAUCUAGACAUAUAAAUAGAGGAAAAUCAAUUUGUUAUCCUUAGAGUAACUUUUAUCCGUUGAGCAAACAUCGACAAAGGAAUACCAAACUCUACCCGUGUGAGGCUGCAUAGCCGGGGAGAAUCAUCGAAUCUUAACUGAAUUUAUACUUCACUCGAACAAUAUAUACAACAACAACAACAACAACAAAGCUAAUGUAAUCUCGCAAGUAGGGUCUGGAGAGGAUAAAAUAUACUCCUACCUUAUGACGGUAGAAAAAUUAAUUUCCGAAGAACCUCGGCUCAAGAAAAAGUGUUGGGCAUACUCGUUCUGUAACUUACUCAGUCUUAACAUCUUUCUUUGAGCUUAGAUCAUGGGGUGAAAGUCAAUCUCAAGUCCUGCUUACAGUUGUACCCAGUGCAAGUUUAAUGGUUCCUUUUGGACAAAUCACAGAAAUGGAAGAACAACGUAACUUGCAUCUGGUGCAACUAUAGGUUGGGCUUGAGAAAGG
rnacentral:lncRNA from 1 species